GAUGAACGCUGGCGGCGUGCCUAAUACAUGCAAGUCGAGCGGACGGACGAGAAGCUUGCUUCUCUGAUGUUAGCGGCGGACGGGUGAGUAACACGUGGAUAACCUACCUAUAAGACUGGGAUAACUUCGGGAAACCGGAGCUAAUACCGGAUAAUAUUUUGAACCGCAUGGUUCAAAAGUGAAAGACGGUCUUGCUGUCACUUAUAGCUGGAUCCGCGCUGCAUUAGCUAGUUGGUAAGGUAACGGCUUACCAAGGCAACGAUGCAUAGCCGACCUGAGAGGGUGAUAGGCCACACUGGAACUGAACCACGGUCCAGACUCCUACGGGAGGCAGCAGUAGGGAAUCUUCCGCAAUGGGGGAAAGCCUGACGGAGCAACGCCGCGCGAGUGAUGAAGGUCUUCGGAUCGUAAAACUCUGUUAUUAGGGAAGAACAUAUGUGUAAGUAACUGUGCACAUCUUGACGGUACCUAAUCAGAAAGCCACGGCUAACUACGUG
rnacentral:rRNA from 1 species